ACUCAGGGGUUGGGUGGCCCUGGAGUCUUCAUGGCUGGACCUCCUCAUCCUGCAAAACCAACUCAGGCAGUUUGGGAAGAGCCCUGCAGGCCUUGUGACUUUGAGACUGUGGCCUCUGAGGGCUGGGUGGAGGAGGAGCAUGGGGCAGGAGCAUGGCUUCCCUGCUCUGUGGCCCUCAGGGUAGACAGUGGCAAGUCCCCAGAAAGCAGGCUGGGCUGCUGAGGCACAGACUUUCUGGUUUUCAGGAUCCUUUUAUCCUCUUGAAAAGUAGUGAAACUCCAUGCAAAUUUUAUGGGUGCUGGCACUGUGGGUCCUGGUGACGCACGUGAUGUACAUGCAAGAUUAUUGGAGGACCUGGCUCAAGGGGCUGCGUGGCUUCUUCUUCGUGGGCGUCCUCUUCUCGGCCGUCUCCAUCGCUGCCUUCUGCACCUUCCUCGUGCUGGCCAUCACCCGGCAUCA
rnacentral:sRNA from 1 species